GGUGGGGGAGGCCCCGGAGGCCCGGAGCCACACAAGUCCAGGCUGUCAUCGUUUGCAUGAGAUUUCAGAGAUGUACACCCACCGUCUGAGAGCCGAGCAGAUUCGGGGUUAGCCCCUCUCCAGCUCUCAGCUCCCGGUUUUAUCUCCUCAGGGCCUCCCGAGGAGGGCGAUGCUUCCUUCCAGGCAGGAGCCGACCAGCCUGAACCCUGCUUCCCCAGAUGUGAAGUGGAGAUAGUAAUACCUGCUCGGAUGACCCCAGCGCACCACUGCAGGACUGUUCAAUGACAAAGGACUGGUAAACUACAAAUUUAGUUCAAUUCCCUGGGAUCUGAAAAAUGAAAUCAAACAUUUAUUUUGUUCCAGAACAUAAAAUUGAUGCAUGUUCACAAAAUGCAAAAUAAAAAAGAGAAAAUAAAACCGUGC
rnacentral:lncRNA from 1 species